GAGUACAGGAGUAUUGUUGGUGGGCUCCAGUACUUGACGAUCACGCGACUAGACAUUUCCUAUGCUGUUAACCGAGUCUGCCAGUAUCUGCAGUCACCCCGUGACACUCAUUGGUCUGCUGUUAAGCGGAUUUUGCGCUAUAUUCGUUUCACAGUGGCUCAUGGUUUGCAUAUUCGGCCGUCUGACUCUGGUUGUCUUUCAGCAUAUUCUGAUGCAGACUGGGCUGGCAAUCCGGAUGACAGGCGAUCCACGGGGGGUUAUGUUGUCUUCUUUGGCUCUAACCUGAUUGCCUGGAGUGCUCGAAAACAGGCUACUGUCUCGCGUAGCAGUACUGAGGCUGAGUAUAAGGCUGUGGCCAAUGCCACAUCAGAGAUCAUCUGGGUACAGUCCUUGCUUCAGGAGUUAAGUAUACCCCAAUCACAGCCUCCUGUUCUUUGGUGUGAUAACAUCGGUGCUACAUACCUUUCUGCAAAUCCGGUAUUCCAUGCCCGAACGAAACACAUUGAAGUUGACUAUCACUUUGUGCGUGAACGUGCCUCUCAGAAGCAACUACAGAUCAAGUUUAUUUCUUCCAAGGAUCAACUUGCUGACAUCUUCACCAAGCCAUUGCCUUUGCCACAGUUUGAGACUUGCAGGCGCAAUCUUACCCUUCUAGAUUCAUUAGAAAGUGGCUAA
rnacentral:rRNA from 1 species